UCGCCCACCUCGGGGUGCCUGCCACAGGCUGAGAUGCGUCAUGCGAACCCGUUGAACCUGACCCGGUUAGGACCGGCGGAGGGAAGGUGUCAGGAUCAUCC
rnacentral:ncRNA from 2 species